rnacentral:lncRNA from 1 species
GCCAUACCUUAGGAAACAUUUACAAACCUAGGGACCUUCUGCAUGGUUCAAAACAGACCUGUUCUUGGUUUUAAAGGGGCCAAUUUUCAUUCGAUUGUGCAGACCCCUUUGGACCGACCACACAAUCGUCUGUGGUCAAGUCUAUAGAAAACAGUACAGAGCGCUGGUUUUGUAAACGUUUUUCUUUUUAGCAGUAGAUCCUUUAUUUCAAAGGACCCCAGAAGGUGCCCCUNNNNNNNNNNNNNNNNNNNNNNNNNNNNNNNNNNNNNNNNNNNNNNNNNNNNNNNGGCCCACAUGAAACCACCCCCCGCCCCCAUCAUGAAUGGUGAAUAAAUACUUGGGAACUGGAACUCAAAAGCUGUCCCAUCCCUACUCUAACCCCCUCUGUGGCUGCCCACUGCCUUCGGGACAAAGUGCGACUGUCCUAUGAUGCCCUCUUGGGCUCUCCAGGGACAGUGCCUGUGGACCUUCCCCAUCUGAGUUUCAGUUCCUCUGAUUCCAAAGCUGUCUCUGACUCAUAUCUCCUCCCUCAACUUCAGCUCUGCAAGUCCCAUGGCUUCCUAGAUACCUCCACCCAGGUGUCCCUAAGCCCCUUAUACCCAUGUCUCCAAUUGUCCUUAGCAUCUCUCCCAAACCUGCCCCUCCCCUGGGUCCCCAUUCCCAGGACAGCUGUCCUACCCAGCCUUCAGGUCUCAGCCUGUGUUCCACCUUCCCCAGAAAGCCCUGAUGCCCCCCGAGUCCUGGGUCCCCCAUAACUUAUCCACUUGGCCUCCCAAGAGUGUCUCCCACCCACCCUUUUCCCCUCCCCUCCAAGGCCAUGAACUGGCCCCUCUCAUCUGGGUCCCCAUUCCAGCCACCUCCUGUGGCUCCCAGCCUCCACUCAAACACUUCUAAUUCCCCCUCUGAGCUGAGUCUGACUUGCCCCUCUCCUGCUCAAAUACUCUGGCCCUCCAGUGUGCACAGGAUAAAGUCUCAGCUUCACACUGUGGCUCCCAGAGCCCUUUCCUUAAUAACCUUUUGGGCUUACGCUUGUACCAUUCUCCAUGGCCCAGUCAGAUUUAAUAUCUUUCAGUUCCUCGAACUGAAACCACACAUUUACCACCAAACCUGCCCACAGCUGCCCCUCCUGCCUAGCAUACCUUUCUCUCUUCAUGUUGCUCACUUCUAUCAGCUUAGGUACCACCUCCUCCAGGAAGCCCUCCCUGACUCCCUGGCUGGUCCAGACAUCCUCCAUGAGACUGGCAGUCCCCUAGGCUUAUCAGUCCUAGCCUGUACCCCUCUGCCUGUGCUUCUCGCAACCUGGCCCUGA